rnacentral:rRNA from 1 species
CAAUAGCGUAUAUUAAAGUUGUUGCAGUUAAAAAGCUCGUAGUUGGAUUUGUGGCGUACGGUGGGUUCCGGGCACUUGUUGUCUGAGUAACUUGCUGUUGCCAUCCUUGGGUGGAACCUGUGUGGCAUUAGGUUGUCGUGCAGGGGAUGCCCAUCAUUUACUGUGAAAAAAUUAGAGUGUUCAAAGCAGGCUUAUGCCGUUGAAUAUAUUAGCAUGGAAUAAUGAGAUAGGACUUUUUUGCUAUUUUGUUGGUUUGCGCAAAGAGGCAAUGAUUAAUAGGGACAGUUGGGGGUAUUCGUAUUCCAUUGUCAGAGGUGAAAUUCUUGGAUUUUUGGAAGACGAACUACUGCAAAAGCAUUUACCAAGGAUGUUUUCAUUAA